rnacentral:rRNA from 1 species
CAGUAGCCGCGGUAAUACGAAGGGGGCUAGCGUUGUUCGGAAUUACUGGGCGUAAAGCGCACGUAGGCGGAUAUUUAAGUCAGGGGUGAAAUCCCGCAGCUCAACUGCGGAACUGCCUUUGAUACUGGGUAUCUUGAGUAUGGAAGAGGUUAGUGGAAUUGCGAGUGUAGAGGUGAAAUUCGUAGAUAUUCGCAGGAACACCAGUGGCGAAGGCGGCUAACUGGUCCAUAACUGACGCUGAGGUGCGAAAGCGUGGGGAGCAAACAGGAUUAGAUACCCCAGUAGUCCCUGUCUCUUAUAC